CCACGGGUGGCUGCAGUGGGGAAUAUUGGACAAUGGGCGAAAGCCUGAUCCAGCCAUGCCGCGUGUGUGAAGAAGGCCUUCGGGUUGUAAAGCACUUUCAGUGGGGAAGAAAGCCUUGGGGCUAAUACCCUCGAGGAAGGACAUCACCCACAGAAGAAGCACCGGCUAACUCCGUGCCAGCAGCCGCGGUAAUACGGAGGGUGCGAGCGUUAAUCGGAAUUACUGGGCGUAAAGCGCGCGUAGGCGGUCUGAUAAGCCGGUUGUGAAAGCCCCGGGCUCAACCUGGGAACGGCAUCCGGAACUGUCAGGCUAGAGUGCAGGAGAGGAAGGUAGAAUUCCCGGUGUAGCGGUGAAAUGCGUAGAGAUCGGGAGGAAUACCAGUGGCGAAGGCGGCCUUCUGGACUGACACUGACGCUGAGGUGCGAAAGCGUGGGUAGCAAACAGGAUUAGAUACCCGGGUAGUC
rnacentral:rRNA from 1 species